rnacentral:rRNA from 1 species
UACGUAGGGGGCAAGCGUUGUCCGGAAUCAUUGGGCGUAAAGCGCGUGUAGGCGGCCCGAUAAGUCCGCUGUGAAAGUCCAGGGCUCAACCCUGGAAUGCCGGUGGAUACUGUCGGGCUCGAGUCCGGAAGAGGCGAGUGGAAUUCCCGGUGUAGUGGUGAAAUGCGCAGAUAUCAGGAGGAACACCGAUUGCGAAGGCAGCUCGCUGGGACGUAACUGACGCUGAGACGCGAAAGCGUGGGGAGCAAACAGG